rnacentral:ncRNA from 1 species
CGGGUUCCGGCGUUGGCCGGAUCAAAAGGGAACGGGGUGAGAAUCCCCGACAGGACCGCUGCUGUGUGGGCGAGUGAUGCGCGGAAAGCCAUUGGCGCAAGCCGAGAAGGCGCGUAUCGCGAUGAACCCGAGCCAGAAGACCUGCCCGUGGACGA